rnacentral:rRNA from 1 species
UCGAACGGUAAACAGGUCUUCGGACGCUGACGAGUGGCGAACGGGUGAGUAAUACAUCGGAACGUGCCCAGUCGUGGGGGAUAACUACUCGAAAGAGUAGCUAAUACCGCAUACGAUCUGAGGAUGAAAGCGGGGGACCUUCGGGCCUCGCGCGAUUGGAGCGGCCGAUGGCAGAUUAGGUAGUUGGUGGGAUAAAAGCUUACCAAGCCGAGGAUCUGUAGCUGGUCUGAGAGGACGACCAGCCACACUGGGACUGAGACACGGCCCAGACUCCUACGGGAGGCAGCAGUGGGGAAUUUUGGAUAAU